rnacentral:misc_RNA from 1 species
CCUUCUCCAAGUUGCGAAAUCCCACUCGUCUCUUACACCAUUUAGCGACACUGCGAGGGUACCGACACUACACUUCCGCUCUCAUUUCUCAGAGGCCUUGCUUUGAGCCUGUUAGUGGAUGAUGAAGGCAGCAGCAAAUCUCCCUCACCCAACACCCUGGAUUCUCUACAUUUCUAAGCCCUGAUUCCCAAUUUUAUCCCCAAUUCACAAAUAUAAGAAAUGAAGCGGAAGCGUGGACGUCCCAAAAAAUCUGCUGCGAAAAAGCCUGCUGUGGUGAAUGCUGAUGAGGAAGCAUUUCUGAACUUCGUUGCUAAAAAUGUCGAUGAAAAUUCUUUGCCAGAUCGACCUAAUGAUCAUGGGUUUAAUCUGUAUGAUUCUGAAAAGGAGGCUAGUUCGUCUUUGUCUUUGUCUUCUUCUUCAGGCGAAAGUGAUGGAUUUCAUUUCGAGGGAGGAGGUGGUAGUGGUUUUGAGGAACCAGCGAUUGAUAGUAGGGUGAAAAGAUCAUCUAACAAACGUGCUCCACCAAAGAAAGGGGAAGCUUCAAGGAAAGGUACAAGUGCUACAGUUACGUCGGGAUUGAGAUCUUCGAGCAGGAAAGAAGUACCAUCGAAGAACCCAGCUCAGGAUUCUCUGAUUAACAAGAAUGAAUUGAAAGCUGCCUUAGCGGUGAUUAAGAAGGUUAUGGAAAUGGAUGAGGCUGUACCUUUCAAUGCUCCUGUGGAUCCUGUUUCUCAGGGAAUACCUGAUUAUUUCACUGUCAUUGAUAUGCCUAUGGAUUUUGGAACAAUCUGUAGCAAUCUUCAAAAUGUUAUCAAGUACCUGAAUGCAGAAGAUGUGUAUAAGGAUGUGGAGUGCAUUUGGGAGAAUUGUUAUAGGUAUAACAAAAAGGGUGACUACAUUGUGUACCUUAUGAAAAGGGUGGAGAAAAAGUUUAUGAAAUACUGGACCGCUGCCGGACUACGUAGUGAGAUUCUGAAGAAGCCUGAUGGACAUUCUCACAUAACAGAGCCACAUGUGACAGUCCUCCCUAUGGAGCAGGAAAAACAACCACCCAAGCGUUCAGUUGCCCCUAUGCUGAGUGGCCCAUCCCAUUCCCAGCUGCAACAGCACCAACCAGGCUCAUGUUAUUUGUGGCAGUCACAGCAGAUCACUGGCCAGCCACAGCCAUUUCACUCACUUGUUGGUGCAGAUAUUGAUAAUGCAGGCCCUUUGGCUGAAAUCCCAUUGGCCUCGUGCUAUUCUGUGCCUCACCGGCCCUCUGGGAGCAACAACCAACUACAAAGGUCACAGCACUCCACACAUGAGAUACAGAGGAGGGUUCGAGGCCCCACUCAAUGCCGCUUCAUGUUGGACAUGACUGAUGGUGAACGGCUAUUUGUCCCUAUCAACAUGCUGGGACAGCCUGUUGGUCCUGAAGCAUCAAAGCUCGCUUCCUUCUUGGGAACUGUAGCACGAAAUGGUAAGAUGGCGCCACUUAAUUUUCUGGACUGGUCAGCAAUGCCAGAUGCAAUCAAAGAGGAUAUGUGGCAGUUUGUGCAGACAAAGUUUGACAUUGACCCCAUGUGCAAAACAUGGGUUAUGAAGUCCCUUGCAUCAAAAUGGAGGAACUGGAAAGCAAAAUUGAAGGCUGACCAUUAUAACCCUCAUACAACUGAUGAGGAACGUUUGAAGGACUGUAACAAAAGAGUCCUUCCUGAUCAAUGGGCAGCCCUUGUAUCCCAUUGGAACUCUGAAAAGGUGCAGCUGCGUUGUGCUAAAAACAAGGCCAACCGUGCAAAGCAGAAAAGUGCCCAUGCUGCGGGCUCAAAGAGCUUUGCAAGGAUACGUGAGGAAGAGCGUGCAAAGAGGGCUGAUGGAGCGGAACUUACUAGAGGAGAACUAUACAUACUAACCCGUACGCGUAAGGAUGGACAACCUGUGGAUAAAGUAGCAGCAGAAGUAAUAACAAAACUCCAUGAACUAGAAGCUCAAAAACAGCAGACUUCACAUGGCAGCGAUGACCAUGAGGACAGCUACUCCCAAGUAAUGGGAAAAGAAAAAGGUGGCCAUGUGCGCAUGGUUGGGAUGGGUCCCAGUCCUGCUGAUAUCUGGGCCCGAAAACCUAGCCGUUUGAGUCUUGUGAGGAUAGGUUUGGAGGCCAAGAGAUUAGCAAAUGAGGAGGUAAGCAAGAUGUUAAACAAAAUGGAGGCCAUGGAGCAAAAGUACGCAUCCUUGGAAGCCCAAAUAGCUAGGAUGACUUCAAAUAUGGAGAAUCUGAUUGGCAAGAUGGGUGCCUUGGGUUCAAAACAGGUUCCUAAUAAUGCUCCUAAGGAUUCACUGCAGGCACAAGCACACUCAUCAUCAAGUCAUGCAAUUCAGCCUAAUGAGCCUGCAGGUUGACUAUAGACUAUAGAGAGGCAUUAUGCUCACAGGACUUGCCAACAUAUUUUUAGGAUUCUCUCUCUCUAAGAUUUAAAUAUUUGUUUGUGUUGGUGCAUGAAAUUAUUGCUAGGCUUGGCGGAUUGAACCUGCCGUUUUGGAUUUGGACAGGUAACAAACCGCUAGACAAGUUUUUAUGUCUUUAUGCAUGUAUUGUUCAUAACUUGAACAUUCCUGUCAUGUAUUUUAUUGCUUGUAAUCAGAGUUUUAUGUUUAUUUUGGAGUGACUGCUGAUCAUGGCUGUUAUUCUUUAUCUUGACUCAUGGAUGAAAAUAAUAGUGAGAAUGGUAAAAGGAAUUUCCAAAGAUCUUUAAGCUUUUUGCCUUUGAUUUUGAUUAUUGAUUUGAGAUGAUUAGUUAAUGCAAUUGGUGUAUUCUUUUUUUAAUAAUUAUUGCUUUUUUUUUUUCUCCUCUUUUCUUCUUUAUGUUCAGGGGAUGCUUUUGUUAUUCUGUUGGCAUUCAAUGAUGCUUUUAGCAGCUUCGUGAAUCUUAGUGCUUCCUGAAGUAUUGCCAGUAAAUGCUGGUUAUUACUGCAUGUUGUUUCUC